CUAUGGAAAAAGAGAAACUUGAUGAAAUACUGCCAAUCACAUUGUACUAUUCUACUCCUGAUGCAGAAACAAGAGGCGAAGACAUGAUUAACUGAGGGACUGUGUUAGUCAACAGAAAGGUCCGUGUGGGGCCUGUUACAGUUCUUCUGAUGCAAACCAUACCAAAACAUAGGACCAACAAAACCAACACGGAUAGCUGCAGCUCUGAUGAGUAUUUAGAAAAAUACCAAGAACUAUUCAGCAUCAUACAAUAUAGCAAUGGAGAUAGCAACAGCUUAUGAAGAAUAUGAUGAUGUGGAUGAUACAGAGAACAAACCAGUAGUGAAAUCUGGUCACUUCUCAGAUACGUCAUCCAUCAGCCCAGACGUGGGGCAUUUAACACCAACCGAAUCAACCCCUCCUGAAAGAAUCAAAGAACAUGGAAGUCCAGAUCUGUCUUAACUGCUUCUGGUAUCAGCUCAGACCACUCAGAAAUAACCAAAGCAAAUGCAGCUCACGCAGGUGACAGUGAGCAUAUAAUUAAGAGCAAUUCUGACGCAUUCUUCUGUCAGCUCAAGUCAGUCAAUCAUCAAGAAAAGAGAGAAAGAAAAACUCAAAAGAUCCCAAGGAAUACUGGUGCUCUUUCUGUGGUAAACACUUUAGACACAAAG
rnacentral:lncRNA from 1 species